rnacentral:rRNA from 1 species
UACAGAGGGUGCAAGCGUUGUUCGGAAUUAUUGGGCGUAAAGCGCGUGUAGGCUGCUCCGCAAGUCGGGUGUGAAAGCCCUGGGCUCAACCUAGGAAGUGCACUCGAAACUGCAGAGCUGGAGUCCUGGAGAGGAAGGCGGAAUUCUCGGUGUAGAGGUGAAAUCGUAGAUAUCGAGAGGAACACCGGUGGCGAAGGCGGCCUUCUGGACAGUGACUGACGCUGGAGACGCGAAAGCGUGGGGAGCAAAC